UGAAGCCUCCGACUUGGAGAAAUUUAAGCAACAGGUUGAAUGUCUUGGAUUGCCCCCUCCAGUUUUCAUUGAUAAUCAGGAGACAGAACUUUGCCCUGAAGAAGGAACAUCUGUGAUAACAUCCCAUCCUGAACCUGCAAAACUGGACGAGGAUUUAAAGAGCAAAUCCACAUAAAACUGCCUGGAUAAGCAUUAAUACAAUGUAGUUUCUGUUAUCCUACAGCGGUAGCCUAAUAUAUAUGCUUUCCAUGUGUGUGUGUUUGUUUCACUCGAGACAUUUAGGUUGGGCCAAAUAAAGAUUUACCUGCACCUUC